ACUGCGGGUGUGGCUGCUGUGUCUCAUAUGCAGAGAAGAGAGACACUGUCUACACACAGGGUUCUGACCCGUGAACAUCUGAAUGACUCGUGGCCUAACACU
rnacentral:snoRNA from 1 species